UGUAAGGAUAAUACGCCUGCCUCCCUAGA
rnacentral:piRNA from 1 species